UACACGCAAAGAUGCAAUGGCAAGAGAGCAGAAAUUAAACAAGGUCAAUCAAAAGACAUUUGAUUGAUAGAAUACAAGACAGUAUAAAACUUUGUGAAUAAAAUUGAGUGCGGGAUAGUGGCGGACGGGUGAGUAACGCGUGAAUAAUCUGCCCCAUACAGGGGGAUAGCCUCGGGAAACCGGGAUUAAAACCGCAUAACACUUUAUCACCGCAUGGUGAUGAAGUCAAAUCGAUUAAGAGGUAUGGGAUGAGUUCGCGUCUGAUUAGCUAGUUGGCGGGUAAAGGCCCACCAAGGCGACGAUCAGUAGCCGGCCUGAGAGGGUGACCGGCCACACUGGAACUGAGACACGGUCCAGACUCCUACGGGAGGCAGCAGUGGGGAAUAUUGCACAAUGGGGGAAACCCUGAUGCAGCGACGCCGCGUGAGUGAAGAAGGUCUUCGGAUCGUAAAACUCUGUCCUUGGUGACGAAGGAAGUGACGGUAACCAAGGAGGAAGCCCCGGCUAACUACGUG
rnacentral:rRNA from 1 species